AGAAUCAACGCUGGCGGCGUGCCUAACACAUGCAAGUCGCACCGAGAAAGGGGUAGCAAUACCUGAGUACAGUGGCGCACGGGUGAGUAACACGUGAAUGAUCUACCUCCGAGUGGGGAAUAACUGAGGGAACCUUAGCUAAUACCGCAUAACACUUACGAGCCAAAGCCGAAAGGCGCUUGGAGAGGAGUUCGCGGCAGAUUAGUUAGUUGGCAGGGUAAUGGCCUACCAAGACGAUGAUCUGUA
rnacentral:rRNA from 1 species